GUCUAACUAAAAAUAUGCUAAACAGAUCGUUGUUAGAACCGACGAACAAAAGUUAAAUUUAAAUUUUUACUCUUACCUGUUCUACUCGAAGAAUAGCGGUUGUAAGAGGUCGAUCCACAGGGAGGCGAUUGGAGUUGCAUAAAAAUUAGAACAUUCACUCGGAUUCAAAAUCGACUUUUGAAUGGUGGAAGAAAAAAACAUUAUGUCGGGGAUAUUGACUGAUUUCCUGGUCUACCAGAGAAUUAUUUUUUAUUGAAAUUAACUAGAGGACAUAUACUUAGAUUUAAAAAGCAUUUAUAUAUUUAAUAAAAAAGAAAGCUCUGAACUAAAAUGGAUGAAAACAGUGCUAGGAAUAUUGAAGACUAGAACAUCGAUUUCAUGAAAGAAAUUUUAAUGUAUUAAAGAAAGAUUACAGAAUCUGAGGAACAGAAAUUAAAAACAACAUAAAUUAAAAACUUUAGCAUAAAUAAAACUCUUAUUUAAACUAAAUCUAAAAA
rnacentral:lncRNA from 1 species